rnacentral:rRNA from 1 species
AUUGAACGCUGGCGGCAGGCCUAACACAUGCAAGUCGAACGAGUGGCGGACGGGUUAGUAAUGUCUGGGAAACUGCCCGAUGGAGGGGUGUAACUACUGGAAACGGUAGCUAAUACCGCAUACCAUCGGAUGUGCCCAGAUGGGAUUAGCUAGUAGGUGGGGUAACGGCUCACCUCGGCGACGAUCCCUAGCUGGUCUGAGAGGAUGACCAGCCACACGGGAACUGAGACACGGGCCAGACUCCGACGGGAGGCAGCAGUGGGGAAUAUUGCACAAUGGGCGCAAGCCGGAUGCAGCCAUGCCGCGUGUAUGAAGAAGGCCUUCGGGUUGUAAAGUACUUUCAGCGAGGAGGCGUUACUCGCAGAAGAAGCACCGGCUAACUCCGUGCCAGCAGCCGCGGUAAUUC